rnacentral:rRNA from 1 species
CGACGAGUUUGAUCCUGGCUCAGAACGAACGCUGGCGGCAGGAUUAACACAUGCAAGUCGAGCGCCCCGCAAGGGGAGCGGCAGACGGGUGAGUAACGCGUGGGAAUCUACCCAUCUCUACGGAAUAACUCAGGGAAACUUGUGCUAAUACCGUAUACGCCCUUCGGGGGAAAGAUUUAUCGGAGAUGGAUGAGCCCGCGUUGGAUUAGCUAGUUGGUGGGGUAAAGGCCUACCAAGGCGACGAUCCAUAGCUGGUCUGAGAGGAUGAUCAGCCACACUGGGACUGAGACACGGCCCAGACUCCUACGGGAGGCAGCAGUGGGGAAUAUUGGACAAUGGGCGCAAGCCUGAUCCAGCCAUGCCGCGUGAGUGAUGAAGGCCCUAGGGUUGUAAAGCUCUUUCACCGGUGAAGAUAAUGACGGUAACCGGAGAAGAAGCCCCGGCUAACUUCGUG